UCUUCCUUACAGCAAUUCAGUCAUACCAAUAACUACUAUUUCUACCAAUAUAUUCACCCUCAUAAUCUCUAACUGUAAUACUACACCCUCACAGCUUUCAAUACACAAUUAUCCUCAUUCCAAUCACUGGAAUUCUUCACAUAGAACUGCCAUUCACAUUAUGGUGUUUCACACAAACAUAGAUUCAUUCUCUCUGUUGAACUACAAUCAGAUUUCAGCAUUGAAUCUUUCUUCUUUUCAAAUAAUACCAAUCAUAUUUCCAUUUCAUAAUUCAUUUCAUAAUAUUCAGAAACUCUCAAUCCUCUUAUUCAAAGAAAAUAACAAACAAAAGAAAAGAGGUAGUACCAAGCUUACCCCGGCUCACACUAUCACAACGAUGGUCCUCGGCUCAUGACUAUCAUAGUCUGGCCUCUUAAUUAUCUUCUACAACUCCUAUAUACUUUCCUCUGAUUCUCCAUAUUCUAACCAUAAUUCUAUAAUUAACUACUUUUAAGAACUAAAUCACUCAUCCGUCCUCUUGAAUUUCUUAUUACAUGGACUAUUAAUAUAUU
rnacentral:lncRNA from 1 species